GACGAACGCUGGCGGCGUGCUUAACACAUGCAAGUCGAACGGAAAGGCCCUGCUUUUGUGGGGUGCUCGAGUGGCGAACGGGUGAGUAACACGUGAGUAACCUGCCCUUGACUUUGGGAUGACUUCAGGAAACUGGGGCUAAUACCGGAUAGGAGCUCCUGCUGCAUGGUGGGGGUUGGAAAGUUUCGGCGGUUGGGGAUGGACUCGCGGCUUAUCAGCUUGUUGGUGGGGUAGUGGCUUACCAAGGCCUGGACGGGUAGCCGGCCUGAGAGGGUGACCGGCCACAUUGGGACUGAGAUACGGCCCAGACUCCUACGGGAGGCAGCAGUGGGGAAUAUUGCACCAUGGGCGGAAGCCUGAUGCAGCAACGCCGCGUGCGGGAUGACGGCCUUCGGGUUGUAAACCGCGUUCGCCUGUGACGAAGCGUGAGUGACGGGAAUGGGUAAAGAAGCACCGGCUAACUACGUGC
rnacentral:rRNA from 1 species